CCUACGGGUUGCACCAGUAGGGAAUCUUCCACAAUGGGCGAAAGCCUGAUGGAGCAACGCCGCGUGUGUGAUGAAGGGUUUCGGCUCGUAAAACACUGUUGUAAGAGAAGAAUGACAUUGAGAGUAACUGUUCAAUGUGUGACGGUAUCUUACCAGAAAGGAACGGCUAAAUACGUGCCAGCAGCCGCGGUAAUACGUAUGUUCCAAGCGUUAUCCGGAUUUAUUAGGCGUAAAGCGAGCGCAGACGGUUAUUUAAGUCUGAAGUGAAAGCCCUCAGCUCAACUGAGGAAUUGCUUUGGAAACUGGAUGACUUGAGUGCAGUAGAGGAAAGUGGAACUCCAUGUGUAGCGGUGAAAUGCAUAGAUAUAUGGAAGAACACCAGUGGCGAAGGCGGCUUUCUGGACUGUAACUGACGUUGAGGCUCGAAAGUGUGGGUAGCAAACAGGAUUAGAUACCCGCGUAGUC
rnacentral:rRNA from 1 species